rnacentral:lncRNA from 1 species
AGUCGUAAGCCGAGGUAAGCUUAGUGCUACUUCUUUGUUUUCUUUGUUUUUAUUAUUUAUUUAUGAAGAAUUGUGAUUGAGAGAAGUAUUGUUGAAACUGUGAUUAGAAUAUUAUAGAAUAUGACUUUGGAUUGAUCGUUUUGGAGAAAAUCUGUGAACUUGAGAAUUGAGAUUAUCGAAUUGUGUUGUGUUAAAUGAAGAUAUUGAAUUUUGUGUGAUGAAUUGAAAAACUGAAUAUAAUAAGUAAGUUGGAGAUUAGUAAUUGAAUAUAUAUAAUCUGCAAAGAGAGUAAGUGGAAGAUGAACUGAUAAGAAUAUGGAAGUAUUGUUGAAUUGAUAGUUGUAGAAUAGAUUAUGUGUUAAAUUAAGAUGGAAGUAGUAAGCCUUGGUAUUUUGUGGUUUGAUAAUUGAUUUCACAUAGCUAGAAUACAAUCAAUUGUGACUUUAAUAGAUCCAAUUCAUAUAAUCAGUCUUUCUCGUAUUCGAACUCAUGUCUAUUAGUUCAAUUACUUUGGUAUACUGAAGCUUGAAUACAACAAGAACAUUAUUUUGGCGCCACUGCUAGGAAAAUGAUAACAAUAUAAAAUGUUAGAAAUUGAUUAUACGAAAAGAAUAAUAGAUUAUGAGUGAUAAUUAUGAAGGAAAGGAUUAUUAAAGAAUUAAUCUACAAGCAAAAGAAAGAUAGGAGUGAUUACGGAUAAGAAAUCUCCUAUGGGAAUGAUAAAAAGGAAUUGUAAGUCUAAGUAAAUCGAAAAGAUGAAAAAUUCAAAUUCAAAUAGCAAAGAGACUAGUGAUAACACCAAUGGCCGUGGGAGUGCUAGAAGUAUCAAUUGCAGUACAAAUGGGAGCAGUAGGAGAUCGAACUACAAGUGUGGUAUCAUUAUCUACUUUUAGUGGUUGGCCGAGCUCUGAUCUCGAUCAUCAUAUAUUUCAAUUCUUGACAGCCUACGUGGCUAAUAAUGGUAGAACUUAAGACAUUUGAUUGAAAUGGUUGCCAACAACUUUAAAAGAUAUAACUUUUGAAUGAUAUAUUUGGCAAUCAUUGGGUAGAUUUUUCAAUUAAGAGGCCUUGAGGAAUGCCUUUCUAAUCCAUUUUAGACCAAUUCGAUUUGAAGAUCGGCUUUGAGAAAGUUUUAUGAAUAACAGGAUGUUUGCGGAGGAAUCAAUAAAGUCCUAUUAUGGUUGGAUUGUGGAUAUACUUCAUAAAUGGUCAAAUAAUCAAAUGCGAGAUGCGUUUAUAUUGUCAAUAUUAAUUAACGGUUUGCAUCCACCAGAAUUGAAAAUGUUUGUUAAAGAGGCUUGACCAACUACAGUAGAGGCAUUGUUCGCACGAGCAAAGGUGUGGGAAGAAUGUCAUUAUGACAAAUUAUUAACAGUGGAGGCCAGGAUGAUUCCAAGUUUAGGAAGCCAACAAAUACAACUGGAAAAUGUAUCGAUGGAUAAUUAUCCACAAAUAGCUGACUCCAACAUAAAGAAUGAAUUGUUACAAAAAUCAAUUAAUGCUACACCACUCCAAGCAAUAGCGCCAAUAAUAAUGACACCUUAUUUUAAAUCACCAACCUAUCAACAACCAGAGUUGUUCACAAAUAUGACUGUUAAAGAUCCAAAUGAAGCCUUAUUAUUGAAUCUAACAAAGAAGAUGGAAGAAUUGGCCAUGAAUUUGGCUAAAAAUAAGGAGAAAUGAUAUAAACCUUCUAAUACGAGACCUAAUGUAUGGUAUAAUAAUUGUAAGGGACAAAGUCAUUUUGAUAUGGAAUAUCCAUCAUCUAGACAAACGGGUAUUCAAUGUACAUUUUGCGAAGGAAAGUACCCUACCAAAAACUAUUGACAUUUAUAAAGGCAACAACAAUUCAAUAAUCAAACCAUGAUCCCACCCACUCAGUGGAAAGUCAAUCAAGUUUAAACAAGAAAUACGUAUGGAUGGAAUGGAAAUCGAUCUAAUUGACAAAAUCAAACAUUCAAUUACUUUCAAAGUUUCAAUUUUAAUCAGGAGUCUACAUCAAAUCCCCUGAACUACGGGAAGGAGUAGUAGAGGUAUCAGCAAUAUGCUCCAUUGAUGUCAUCAAACCAAGUACCCUUCGUACCAACGAGACAACCAAGAUCAUUUUCUUAUCCUAUAUGGAACAAGCCUAGUAGGUAUAUACUGGUGAAAACAUCCAAUAUGCCAGAUGGACGUGCAAGAAGUUCACUUUGUUGUUUUCGUUGCAGACAAAUUGAUCAUUAUGCCAGUGAAUGUUCCUAUCUCAGAGCUAGUGACGAUUAUGCACUAUGUGUAAAUUGUAAGCAAUCGGGACAUACUUAUCAGCAAUAUAAUACUCCAUUCAAUUUCAAUAAUUGAAAUCAGCAAAUCCAAAGCCAAGGAAAAAUAGAGGAGAUAAAUCAAGGUUCUCAAGAUUGACCAGUUCAUUGGGUAGAAGUAGUCUAAGUUGUCCUUAUAAGAAGUCAGCAAAAAGAGAAAGGACCAAUUCAACAUUUGGGUGAUCCUGAAGCAAAGGACCAAUUGGACUCAAUUACAGGGCCAUCCAAUUCAGGUCCUGAAAUGGAUCCCUUACUUAGUAUAAGACCUGAAUUGGUUGUGUAUCCUAUUGAUGUAUCAAUUACAAAGGCUUCAGUUCUAUUUCAAGUUGUUUUGUUCUUUACACAGUUUUAGAAAAUGGUCUUUCCAUUGAAAGAUUCUCUCGGAGACAUGAAUUCCAAAGAAUUAAUAUCAGCCCAAUUGGGAGAACAAUCUUACCUGUUGAAAGAACCAAUUUUACAAGCUCUGUCAAAUUUAAUUCCAGUAGCUUUAUCAAUUUUUAAUAUAGAAAAAAUCAAUUUACUUGCGUUGGUGUCUAGGACUGGAAAGAAGAAACGGACAUUGAAAAUUACCACUAAUACAAAACCAUAUGAUAUUCUAAAAGAUUUGGAUACCAUACCACCCACGAUCUCUAUGAAGCAACUAUUAGUAGUAGCACUUAAGUGUCGAACAAUCUUGAAUUCCUCAUUAAUUCAUCGCUGAUCUGAAAAUAAAGAAAUCUGAGAAGUAAGUUUGAAUUCCGAUUUGGAUGCACUAACGAUUUAUGUCUCAAUUGAUGGAGUGUUAUUAUUGGGAGUGCAAGUAGAUGGAGGAUCUUUUUUAAAUCUUAUGAAUGCCGCAACAAUGGAGGAGUUGGAUUUGGAUCACUCAUUGCCUAUUACAGUAGUUUUGAGAAUGGCUGACUCCAGUCGAGUUAAAUCUAUGGAUAUUUUACGAAGUAUUGAUAUAGUAAUUACGGGGAUUACCUAAAAAAAUGAUUAUAUUAUUUUUUGAUUGCAAAGCUCUAUAUUUUCAUAUCCAAUUUUAUUGAGGCGACCAUGGUUGUAUCAAGCUAAAGCUCGAAAUGACUGGGGCCAUGGUACAAUGACAAUUGGGAAAGGUAAUGAUAAAAUUAUGCUUCAAAUAUAUCCUAUCUAAUAUCAUGGAAAAACUCAAUUUGCCAAUUCACAAUUCAUGUCGGAUUGUAAAGAUGAGUCUGAAGAAAAAGAACUUGGUGCACCCAACCCAAUUUAUGUUGAUACAAGGCAAGUUGUUGAGUACACUAGAAUGAACUACCUAUGCACGGGACUAGGAGAGUACUUAGUUCUUCCAGAUGUUAUUGACAAUUCUAAUCAUAUGAUUGUAUAUUGGAUGAAUAGACAGGAUGUUAAUCACGUUAGUGCUAUGGAAUUGGAGUUGAAAAGUUCUAAUGUGUCGGAUUUUAUGAAAGAUUGUCGAAUUGAGCAGAACAUUAUUCCAGAGAGUCCUAAAAUUCCACGAUGUCAACCAAUUAAUUUAGGUACAGGGGAGGCUUACCAAAUCAUUCAGAUUUACGACGAUAUAAAAGGCAAGGAGAAAGAAAUUUGAGUGGAUUACUUUUUAAUGCAUAAAACUGCUUUUGUAUGAUUGUAUGCAGAUUUGAAAGGAAUUCCAGCUGAAGUUUGUGAGCAUCGAAUUAUAUUGAAGGAGAACGCUACACAAAUACACCAAAGACAAUAUUGACUUAAUCCAAAAUACUCACUUAUGGUAAAAGAAGAAUUGGAUAAACUCUUGGAGGUUGGAUUUAUCUAUCCAGUUCCUUUCAGUGAAUGGGUUUCAUCAAUUGUUAUGGUACUAAAAAAGAAUGAAAAAAUUCGCAUCUGUCAAGAUUUUCGUAAAUUAAAUGUGGCUACUAAGAAGGAUUAUUUUCCUUUACCAUUCACGGAUAGUAUAUUGGAUGCUGUCGCUGAAGAUGAAUGUUAUUCAUUUUUUGAUGGAUUCUCCAGUUAUAAUCAAAUUAAAAUUGUAAAAGAAGACUAAUUAAAAACUACUUUUAGUAUGGAUUGGAAGAUCUUUGCUUAUAAGGUUAUGCCGUUUGGGCUUUGUAAUGCACCAGCUACAUUUCAAAGGGUAAUGACGCAAGCAUUUCAAGAUUAUCUACAAAUUUUAAUGGAAAUAUUUUUAGAUGAUUUUUGUACAUUUAGUACGAGAGCUAGGCAUUUAGAAUGUCUAGGUCAAUGUUUGAAUCAAUGUGACAAAUAUGGAAUUUCUUUAAAUUCAAAAAAGUACCAAUUUGGUUUAUUUUUUGGUAAACUGUUGAGUCAUAUAGUUUCGAUGGCAGACAUUACUACAGAUCCAGAUAAAAUAAAGAUUAUAAUAGAAUUAAAGCAACCAAACACUAUUACGGGUGUUCCAAAAAAAGUUCAAGUACAAUGGCAUGAGCCUUAUCAAGUUAUUGACGGUUUUCCAAAUGGUUCUGUACAAUUGAAAGAUUUUAUGGAUACUAAAUUUAUGGCACGGAUCAAUGGCAAUCGGCUUAAACUUUACUAUACAUAAAUCUAGGACAGGUUUCCUGUUACAAAAGAGAGAAUCGACCCAAUUGAUUGGACCAUAGUAAGAAGUAGGAGGGAGGCUCUUGACAAGCAUCGUGUUUUCUUUUGUGGUUAUGGAGAAGUGAAUAGCAAAAAAGGAAAAGAUGGUAAAUAUGGUGUCCAAAAAAGUAAGGAUGGAGACCAAUUGGAAGGAACGACAAGAGCAGAUGCAAGUAGAAGUUGCGAUGUUGCAGACUAAAAUAGCCAUAUUAGCAAAGGAGGCCAAUAACAUAGUGCAGACCAAUAUGCCAGUUUCAAUGAUAACACCUUCGAAAAUACCUUUGAAACCGACUGAACAAUUGAAGAAGAUGUUGGAAGAGCGUGACAACCAAAUUGUCCGACUUGAGACUCAAGUACGGAAAUUGGAUUUGUUGAAUGAAGAUCUGACGACACAUUGGAAUGAAAAACCCUCGAACAUUAAGGCACACAAUGAAGAUGUAGUAGAGGAGAAGGUCACCAAUUCAAAGGGUGGUAAGCCAACCCCAUUGACUGAAGAAGCCAAUGCUACUAUGUCUUUAUAAAUUGAGGCUAAAUAAUAUUUACGAGGGCGCUGCACAAUUAAGAGUGGGGCUAUAUAGAAUAGGCAAAUAAACUUUGUGGUAAGUUACUGGUUGGUUAUUGAGAACCUUGAAAAUUAGACUUAUGGUUAGACAGUUUAGUUAGUAAUAGUAGGUUAUUAGUGGAACAAAUGGUUAAGAAUUCAAAGGAUUAUAACCUUUGAAAUCUGCUGGCCGAUAGUCCAUCUUUUGAUAGGAUAAAGAGAUUGAAAAAAAAGAGAUCGGGGCCAAACUAUGAGAGUUGUAAGCCGGAGGGGCUAGAUUGUGAGAGUCGUAAGCCGAGGGGGGGGAGGGGGGCCAAAUUGUGAGAGUCGUAUGCCAAAGGGCCAAAUUGUGAGAGUCGUAAGUCAAGGGGCCAUACUGUGAGAGUCGUAUGCCAAAGGGCCAAAUUAUGAGAGUCGUAAGUCAAGGCGCCAUAUUGUGAGAGUCGUAAGCCGAGGGGCCAGAUUGUGAGAGUCGUAAGCCGAGGUAAGCUUAGUGCUACUUCUUUGUUUUUUUUACUUUUAUUAUUUAUUUAUGAAGAAUUAUGAUUGAGAGAAGUAUUGUUGAAAUUAUGAUUAGAAUAUUGUAGAAUAUAACUUUGGAUUGACCAUUUUGGAGAAAAUCUGUGAACUUGAGAAUUGAGAUUAUCGAAUUGUGUUGUGUUAAAUGAAGAUAUUAAAUUUUGUGUAAUGAAUUGAAAAACUGAAUAUAAUAAGUAAGCUGGAGAUCAGUAAUUUAAUAUAUAAACCACAAA